rnacentral:rRNA from 1 species
UACGUAGGGGGCAAGCGUUGUCCGGAUUUAUUGGGCGUAAAGAGCGUGUAGGCGGCCUGAAAGGUCAGCUGUGAAAACUCGAGGCUCAACCUCGAGACGUCGGUUGAAACCAUCUGGCUAGAGUCCGGAAGAGGAGAGUGGAAUUCCCGGUGUAGCGGUGAAAUGCGCAGAUAUCAGGAGGAACACCAACGGCGAAGGCAGCUCGCUAGGACGGUACUGACGCUGAGACGCGAAAGCGUGGGGAGCGAACAGG